GAGUUUGAUUCUGGCUCAGAUUGAACGCUGGCGGCAGGCUUAACACAUGCAAGUCGAACGGUAGCAGGAGAAAGCUUGCUUUCUUGCUGACGAGUGGCGGACGGGUGAGUAAUGCUUGGGAAUCUGGCUUAUGGAGGGGGAUAACUACUGGAAACGGUAGCUAAUACCGCGUAAUAUCGAGAGAUUAAAGACUGGGACCUACGGGCCAGUUGCCAUAAGAUGAGCCCAAGUGGGAUUAGGUAGUUGGUGGGGUAAAGGCCUACCAAGCCCGCGAUCUCUAGCUGGUCUGAGAGGAUGACCAGCCACACUGGAACUGAGACACGGUCCAGACUCCUACGGGAGGCAGCAGUGGGGAAUAUUGCACAAUGGGGGGAACCCUGAUGCAGCCAUGCCGCGUGAAUGAAGAAGGCCUUCGGGUUGUAAAGUUCUUUCGGUGGUGAGGAAGGUAUCAACUUUAAUAGAGUUGGUAAUNGGACGUUAUCCACAGAAGAAGCCCC
rnacentral:rRNA from 1 species